rnacentral:sRNA from 1 species
UUCGUCAUUGGUGAGGGUCGUGACCAAAAA